UCCUGUCUGCACUAUCUCCAGUUUGGUUCAAGCCUCCUGGUUCCAGUCCGGUUCAAGUUUCCGGUUCAAGUCUCCGGUUCCAGUCUGAUUCAAGUGCUCUCCACUUACGUUGCUGUCACUGGAGUCCUGCUGGCUGCCUACUAGGAAUAUCAUGGAGGAACCUGAGGAUGGCAAAUACACGAAAACAACAACCCCAAUCUGGCAAAUCAACUCAAAGACUGGCAAUGCGGCAAAUUAUGCCUAACCACAUUGUGUCAGAAAUCAUGAUUUUUUUCUACAGUAUCUCAAUUCUCAGGCCUCUUUCCUUUUCUGUCUGCAACUCCUUCCUUGGAGAACCCAUUCUUAUGCCUUCAAUACCAUCUAUACAAUGAUGAAACUCAAAUCUACCUCUCCACCCCUGAUCUCUCUAUCCCCCUAUUCUCUCCCUCAUCUUCAACUGCCUUUCUGCCAUUUUCUCCUGGAUAUCAAAGCGUUUCCAGAAGCUAAAUAUCUCCAAAACCAAACUUGUUGAUUUUCCCUCUUCCAGGGUCUCUCCAUCACUCUUUCUGUUGAUAACAUCACCCUUUUUUCUAUUUCUCAAGUCUGCUGCCUCACUGUCAUCCUUGUCUCUCCUUUUCCUCUGGAACACUGCCAAAAUCUCAUCUAGCCUCUCUCCACCUUCAGUCUAUUCUUAAUGCUACUGCUUAUUUUCUCAAUUUUCUCUGCCAGUGUAUGGCUUCCGCCUUCCCCCAUCUGCAACAUGCUUACCAUCCUCCAAAGUUUCAAGUUCAAACUCCUCAUUCUCACCUACAAAGCCUUAAACUACUGUACUCUGCCUGUCCCUACUUUUUCAACCUCAUCUCUAUCCACACUCUUCUGGCCAAUGCCUUCUCUACAACCUGGUCACCCUCUCGUGCUCCCCUUCAAGAUUUCACUUUGUGAGCCACACAGUGUUAAUUAGGGAACUGUGUGUUUAGUAAGACAUAAGGGAGACAAGCAAGAAUUUUGUUUUGCUUAUCUGCUGUACU